rnacentral:tRNA from 1 species
AUUUAAAUAAUUUAAAAAAAAAAUAUUGAUUUGUGGAGUCAAAAAUAUGAGUAAUCAUUUUAAGUU